rnacentral:rRNA from 1 species
CUGGCCGAACGUUUAGAUCUUCAUGAGGAUGAGGAAGACAACUUUGUUUGGGAAUAUGAAUUCAAGGAGGAAGCAGUGGCGACCAAGUGGCUAGCUAUAGCAAAAGUUCAUACAUCUAAGGUGUUCAGCCCGUCUGCGCUUUACUCUGACAUGAGGUGUGCUUGUAACCCGGCUCGUGACAUCCGGUGGAGGAAUUUUGAUGAUAAUUUGUUCACAAUUCAAUUUGGUUGUUUAGGAGAUUGGAACACGGUGUUGCAUAUGGGACCUUGCUUGUUCAGGAACCAAGGACUGAUGAUAGAGGAAUACGAUGGAUUCUUGAACCGCAAAUCAAUAGUUCUUGACAAAAUUACCGUGUGA